GAUGAACGCUGGCGGCGUGCCUAAUACAUGCAAGUCGAGCGAACAGACGAGGAGCUUGCUCCUCUGACGUUAGCGGCGGACGGGUGAGUAACACGUGGAUAACCUACCUAUAAGACUGGGAUAACUUCGGGAAACCUGAGCUAAUACCGGAUAAUAUAUUGAACCGCAUGGUUCAAUAGUGAAAGACGGUUUUGCUGUCACUUAUAGAUGGAUCCGCGCCGCAUUAGCUAGUUGGUAAGGUAACGGCGUACCAAGGCAACGAUGCGUAGCCGACCUGAGAGGGUGAUCGGCCACACUGGAACUGAGACACGGUCCAGACUCCUACGGGAGGCAGCAGUAGGGAAUCUUCCGCAAUGGGCGAAAGCCUGACGGAGCCACGCCGCGUGAGUGAUGAAGGUCUUCGGAUCGUAAAACUCUGUUAUUAGGGAAGAACAAAUGUGUAAGUAACUAUGCACGUCUUGACGGUACCUAAUCAGAAAGCCACGGCUAACUACGUG
rnacentral:rRNA from 1 species